GGCCUGUUAGCUCAGCUGGUUAGAGCGUCGUGCUAAUAACGCGAAGGUCUUGGGUUCGAUCCCCACACGGGCCA
rfam:Peniophora sp. CONT PENSPscaffold_62_Cont109, whole genome shotgun sequence.